rnacentral:snoRNA from 1 species
GGCAUUUCUGUGAUGAAGUCUUAUUUCUAUUCACCUUGGAGAACAGAUCUCCCGUGGGCGAGUCGACGCGCUCACGGGCUGCUGAUUAUCAACUUCUGAGACUUGCU